AGAGUUUGAUCAUGGCUCAGGACGAACGCUGGCGGCGUGCUUAACACAUGCAAGUCGAGCGGAAAGGCCCUUCGGGGUACUCGAGCGGCGAACGGGUGAGUAACACGUGAGUAAUCUGCCCCUAGCUCUGGGAUAGCUCCGGGAAACCGGGAUUAAUACCGGAUACGACCACCUUAGACAUCUUUUGUGGUGGAAAGAAUUUCGGCUAGGGAUGAGCUCGCGGCCUAUCAGCUUGUUGGUGGGGUAACGGCCUACCAAGGCGACGACGGGUAGCCGGCCUGAGAGGGCGACCGGCCACACUGGGACUGAGACACGGCCCAGACUCCUACGGGAGGCAGCAGUGGGGAAUAUUGCGCAAUGGGCGAAAGCCUGACGCAGCGACGCCGCGUGGGGGAUGAAGGCCUUCGGGUUGUAAACCCCUUUCAGCAGGGACGAAGCGAAAGUGACGGUACCUGCAGAAGAAGCGCCGGCUAACUACGUGCCAGCAGCCGCGGUAACACGUAGGGCGCAAGCGUUGUCCGGAAUUAUUGGGCGUAAAGAGCUCGUAGGCGGUCUGUUGCGUCCGCUGUGAAAACUCGGGGCUUAACCCCGAGCCUGCAGUGGAUACGGGCAGACUAGAGGUAGGUAGGGGAGAAUGGAAUUCCCGGUGUAGCGGUGAAAUGCGCAGAUAUCGGGAGGAACACCGGUGGCGAAGGCGGUUCUCUGGGCCUUACCUGACGCUGAGGAGCGAAAGCGUGGGGAGCGAACAGGAUUAGAUACCCUAGUAGUCC
rnacentral:rRNA from 1 species